CACCAAACCCAAUAUACUAAAAAUAAAGUCUCUCUAAACCCCAAACCUUGUCCAAACAUUAAACUUCUUCUUCUUCUUCCUCCUUUCCACACCACAGAAACAACUACAAAAGAAACAAAGGAAGUCCAUCAAUGGAGGGCCUCAUUCCUUUGGUGUACAAGGCAAUAAAGAACAACAAAACCCGCCAGCAAUACGAGUGUCUGUCUUCUGGUUCUGCUCUUGGUUACAACCCUGCGGAUUUUCAUAAUGAAGCUGAGGUAUUCCUCAAAGCUGCAGCUUCAAACGAGAAAGGGAAUAUUGCAGGGAAAAAACUCCACAGGCGAUUCAGUUCUGUAGAAGAUUUCACGGUGACCCAUGUUUCUCCUCCUCGGAAGCAGCUUGUGAGGUUCAGGAGCCAUAGAAUGUUUUCUUGUGUUACAGGUGCCUAGAGAAAAAACAAGAUCAAAUCUUUAUGUUCUUGUUCAUUAAUUGUUUAUUUUAUUUUAUUUUUCAAUUUUCUCUGUAUUGGCUGCGUACAUCAACUCUCUUCUCUCUUCAGAAUUCAUAAGUGUGAGAUGUUUCGUUCACUUCAUCACCCAUUUUUCUCUGUGUUGUCUGUUAGUUGAAGAGAUGAAGCUGCUAGGGCUAGCUGUGAUAGUAGGAUGCCUGUGGGCUCAAUCCCAGAUUAGCAUACCUUAAUUUCUUGAUUUUAAAUCUGAAAGAGAUCUAAAAUUAAGAAUAUUGUCACAUGUAUAUAUGGCCGUCAAUAAUGUUUUCUACAAUCUCUUUUUCUUCAUUACUAAUAGCUGGCUUGCAAGUAGCCAAUUAUACAUGUUAUCUCUUUAAUAGCUGGCUUGCAAAUAGCUAAUUACAAUCACCUUUCCUUUACACCAUUCAAGAUCACGAGAUGUUACAGGCCUAUUAGCUUUUGCUUUGUUCAUCUCCAAACCACUUUAAGACUAAU
rnacentral:misc_RNA from 1 species